AACCUAUAUAACCAACUUCUAUUCUACCAAUGUGGGACUAAUUUCCCAUCAUUCACAAAACCUAUUAUGAAGACUGCUCUAACAGCUAUUACUCUACUGCCCCCAACCCUUUUGUUAUUUCCUCUUUAGUCGGUGUUUUUUCCCCAUUUUCUGCUCCAUCAUUCAUUUAUGGCGGUGCUGCUUACUCUCUCCUUUGAUCAUUUCCUCUCCGUUCAUUUCCUGCUCCAUUUUCUUUCUCUCUCCUCCCUCCAUUUUACAAUUCUUGGGCAUAGCUUACAUCGCAAAAACGGAGUAGCAGCGGUGAAAUCCAAGGGCGGUGUCUUAACAAUUAGAAGAAUUGGAUGAAAUACGACAUCGCCAAUCUCCUAUCCAACAAUUAUAGAACGACGAUGACAAAGUCAGAAUUCCAUGAGUUGCUGUCGUGUCAGAGGUGUUCGGAAUUUUGCUGAUCUAAAUUGGAAUAUGGUUACCAGCGUUUCAGGAAGUGAGUUUGAUGGUGGUCGUUCUGCUGCUCAGAGUUUUACUGGUGGUCCAAACCACAGUCAAUGUUGAUAUUACCGGACUCCUGAGAAGCAAGGAUUUCUCUUGAUCAAGAACCAUUGCAGACUAAUCCAAAUUUAGAGGAGGGUUUUUGCCGAGCUCUGUUGUGCCGUUUACGAUUUCGUAAGGUCUUAACUUAUAUACUCUUGCUACAUUUAUAAAUUCCCCUAAUUGCCAAUCUUACAUCAGACCAUCAGGAGAAAUGUGACAAGAGAGACUUGAGUGUUGUGCUAUUUUGGAUUUGUUUUUUGCUCUGCCACUUAAGCUUGUAUACAGUAUAAUACAAUGGCCCUGGAUGUUUUCCGUUAUUUGCCUUCUCUGCAUAUAUUGAGAGGACAAUCGUUCUUAUUGAUGACCUUUGAUCUUUCAUGUCUUUUUAUUUACGGAUACAUCAAGCUCUGCAAUAUUCUUCGGAAUCCAUGCCUCUAUUUAUGUUGCUGUGUGCUAAUGCAUGUGUAAAAUUUAUUUUAAGUGUAAUACCCAAUACAAAUUCACUAACAUAGUGACUAAAUUGCAAUUUUCAGGGAAGCAUUACUACCACCUUCUUAUGUGCUUGAAGGAACCCCAAGGCAAAGGCUUUGAGUUGGCAAAAAAACAUAUUUUAUCUUGCUUAUUAGAGCUGGAACAAAUGCAAAAAUCAGCUGAGUUUCUGAGGUCUAUAGGAUGCUUGACAAUUGAUGAGUCAAUUUUAUAUAUAUUUUUAUUCCCCAUCCCAAGGUCAUAUUUGUGCUUAUUUGAGCUCUACCGAGCUAUUUUUAUUACUAAUAUACGUUUUCUAGUGUUUUUGUAGAGUUGGUAUUAUUUUACAGGAAUUUGUAGAAUUAUGCUAAUUUCCCUAGCUUAUUGAGCCACUACGAAAACAUUAAAGUCGGAUCGUAUUUUAUGACCGUAUAUUUAAAGCCCAAGGUCGAGCUAAUUAAUUUUGAUUAGGUGAUUAAGGGCUCGACUUGUAAAGAAGUCUAAGAUUUAAAAGCUAGUGUAUGGAAUAUGGACCAACCGAUCAAACAAAUGAAGGGUUAAAAGAGCUCAAGUCAAAGAAAGAAGCCCAAAUAAUAUCUUAUAUUGUUGCCGGGCCUAAUUGGGUGAGGUUCAUUCUGGGCUGUCAAAAUCAUAGCAAUAUAUCUUGUAAUCUUGGUAUCAUCAUCGUGGGAAUGCACGUGAUUGUUGGGCUGCUUAAGGACUUUGAUUACUAGAUUUAUUUUGGCAGGUUUAUUAUUAGUUUUAGUGAAGCUAGGUUUACUUUUCUUAGUGGACUUUUAAUAGGAUUCCUUUUCUUUAUAAGAGGAGGAGUGGUAGACUAGUUACGAGGGGUAGUAUUAGUUUCCUUCCCUUUUUAAGUUAGUUUAGUUUUCUUUUCAUACAUAUUAAGAUUCAUUAGUUUAUUUUAAUACUAUUAUUCUUCUUAUUUUAAUUAUUACUUUUGAUUAUGUUUCCUUUAAUUGUCUUGUUUAGUUUAGAUUUAAUUAUGUGUGACUAGAUUUAUUUUUAGGGUUGUG